CUCAUUUUCAAAGUGCUACUCUUGGAGCAGACCUUAAAAUUUGGCAGUGAGGUGCCUUGCUUGUGGCUUGGGUGUGCAGUUAUAUGUGGGAGCUGCUGUGUUCACCCAGAGAAUGGCUGGUGCUCUGCCAGAGGAAUGCUGAAGAUGCCUUAGUGUUGUCUCUUGUUCCAUGAGAUGAGCACUAAGCAGCGUGUCGAGGCGCGUGUCAUUGAAGACGCAGUGGAGCGGGCGGCGGUAGAAGCGGGU